AAUGGCCGCAGUAUUUUAACUGUGCUAAGGUAGCAUAAUAAUUAGUCUUUUAAUUGGAGUCUGGAAUGAAUGGUUUGACGAGAAAUUGACUUUAUUAAUCUUAUUUUUUUUGAAUUUAAUUUUUUAGUUAAAAAGCUUAAAUGUUUAAGUGGGACGAUAAGACCCUGUAGAUCUUUAAAAUUAAUUUUUAUUUAAUUUUUAGUUGUUUUUACUUUUUUUAUUUUGUUAAUUUUUUGGUUGGGGUGACCAUUAAAAUUUAAACUUUAUUUUUUUUUUACAUUUUAUUGAGUUUUUGAUCCUUUAUUAUGGAUUUUAAGAGGAAGAUACCUCAGGGAUAACAGCGUAAUAAGUUUGGAGAGUUCUUAUUGAUAAACUUUUUUGCGACCUCGAUGUUGGAUUAAAAUUUGAUUGUGGGGCAGGAGAUUCAAUUCUAGGUCUGUUCGACCUUUAAAAUUUUACGUGAUCUGAUUCCA
rnacentral:rRNA from 1 species